GAUGAACGCUGGCGGCGUGCCUAAUACAUGCAAGUCGAGCGAACGGACGAGAAGCUUGCUUCUCUGAUGUUAGCGGCGGACGGGUGAGUAACACGUGGAUAACCUACCUAUAAGACUGGGAUAACUUCGGGAAACCGGAGCUAAUACCGGAUAAUAUUUUGAACCGCAUGGUUCAAAAGUGAAAGACGGUCUUGCUGUCACUUAUAGAUGGAUCCGCGCUGCAUUAGCUAGUUGGUAAGGUAACGGCUUACCAAGGCAACGAUGCAUAGCCGACAUGAGAGGGUGAUCGGCCACACUGGAACUGAGACACGGUCCAGACUCCUACGGGAGGCAGCAGUAGGGAAUCUUCCGCAAUGGGCGAAAGCCUGACGGAGCAACGCCGCGUGAGUGAUGAAGGUCUUCGGAUCGUAAAACUCUGUUAUUAGGGAAGAACAAAUGUGUAAGUAACUGUGCACAUCUUGACGGUACCUAAUCAGAAAGCCACGGCUAACUACGUG
rnacentral:rRNA from 1 species